rnacentral:rRNA from 1 species
GAUGAACGCUGGCGGCGUGCCUAAUACAUGCAAGUCGAGCGAACGGACGAGAAGCUUGCUUCUCUGAUGUUAGCGGCGGACGGGUGAGUAACACGUGGAUAACCUACCUAUAAGACUGGGAUAACUUCGGGAAACCGUAGCUAAUACCGGAUAAUAUUUUGAACCGCAUGGUUCAAAAGUGAAAGACGGUCUUGCUGUCACUUAUAGAUGGAUCCGCGCUGCAUUAGCUAGUUGGUAAGGUAACGGCUUACCAAGGCAACGAUGCAUAGCCGACCUGAGAGGGUGAUCGGCCACACUGGAACUGAGACACGGUCCAGACUCCUACGGGAGGCAGCAGUAGGGAAUCUUCCGCAAUGGGCGAAAGCCUGACGGAGCAACGCCGCGUGAGUGAUGAAGGUCUUCGGAUCGUAAAACUCUGUUAUUAGGGAAGAACAUAUGUGUAAGUAACUGUGCACAUCUUGACGGUACCUAAUCAGAAAGCCACGGCUAACUACGUGCCAGCAGCCGCGGUAAUACGUAGGUGGCAAGCGUUAUCCGGAAUUAUUGGGCGUAAAGCGCGCGUAGGCGGUUUUUUAAGUCUGAUGUGAAAGCCCACGGCUCAACCGUGGAGGGUCAUUGGAAACUGGAAAACUUGAGUGCAGAAGAGGAAAGUGGAAUUCCAUGUGUAGCGGUGAAAUGCGCAGAGAUAUGGAGGAACACCAGUGGCGAAGGCGACUUUCUGGUCUGUAACUGACGCUGAUGUGCGAAAGCGUGGGGAUCAAACAGGAUUAGAUACCCUGGUAGUCCACGCCGUAAACGAUGAGUGCUAAGUGUUAGGGGGUUUCCGCCCCUUAGUGCUGCAGCUAACGCAUUAAGCACUCCGCCUGGGGAGUACGACCGCAAGGUUGAAACUCAAAGGAAUUGACGGGGACCCGCACAAGCGGUGGAGCAUGUGGUUUAAUUCGAAGCAACGCGAAGAACCUUACCAAAUCUUGACAUCCUUUGACAACUCUAGAGAUAGAGCCUUCCCCUUCGGGGGACAAAGUGACAGGUGGUGCAUGGUUGUCGUCAGCUCGUGUCGUGAGAUGUUGGGUUAAGUCCCGCAACGAGCGCAACCCUUAAGCUUAGUUGCCAUCAUUAAGUUGGGCACUCUAAGUUGACUGCCGGUGACAAACCGGAGGAAGGUGGGGAUGACGUCAAAUCAUCAUGCCCCUUAUGAUUUGGGCUACACACGUGCUACAAUGGACAAUACAAAGGGCAGCGAAACCGCGAGGUCAAGCAAAUCCCAUAAAGUUGUUCUCAGUUCGGAUUGUAGUCUGCAACUCGACUAUAUGAAGCUGGAAUCGCUAGUAAUCGUAGAUCAGCAUGCUACGGUGAAUACGUUCCCGGGUCU